UACGAAGGGUGCAAACGUUAUUCGGAUUUAUUGGGCGUAAAGGGUACGCAGGCGGUCUGCUAAGUCAACUGUUAAAUCUCCCAGCUUAACUGGGAAUCAGCGGUAGAUACUGGUAGACUAGAGGAUGGAAGAGAGAAGUGGAAUUCUUGGAGUAGAGGUAAAAUUCGUAGAUCUCAAGAGGAACACCGAUGGCGAAGGCAGCUUCUUGGUCCAUUUCUGACGCUCAGGUACGAAAGCGUGGGGAGCAAACAGG
rnacentral:rRNA from 1 species